rnacentral:rRNA from 1 species
UAGGGAAUCUUCGGCAAUGGGGGGAACCCUGACCGAGCAACGCCGCGUGAGUGAAGAAGGUUUUCGGAUCGUAAAGCUCUGUUGUUAAGGAAGAACGAGUGUGAGAAUAGAAAGUUCAUACUGUGACGGUACUUAACCAGAAAGGGACGGCUAACUACGUGCCAGCAGCCGCGGUAAUACGUAGGUCCCGAGCGUUGUCCGGAUUUAUUGGGCGUAAAGCGAGCGCAGGCGGUUAGAUAAGUCUGAAGUUAAAGGCAGUGGCUCAACCAUUGUAGGCUUUGGAAACUGUUUAACUUGAGUGCAGAAGGGGAGAGUGGAAUUCCAUGUGUAGCGGUGAAAUGCGUAGAUAUAUGGAGGAACACCGGUGGCGAAAGCGGCUCUCUGGUCUGUAACUGACGCUGAGGCUCGAAAGCGUGGGGAGCGAACAGG